CCGCUCCUCAUCCCUCCCUCCUGGCACAGCGCGCCCGGGCCGGGCUGUCCCGGAGCAGCGCGGUGCCGCCGCCGCUCCUUCCUCCUCCUUCCUCCUCCUCUUGCGCCCCGUCCCCGGCAUGCCCGCUCCGCUGCCCCCCACCGAGCUGUACGCCUCGGAGCGGGCGGUGGUGCUGCUGUCCUGCGUCCUGUCCUUCCUGGGCUCCAGCCUCCUCGUGGGCACCCAUGCGCUGUGGCCCGAGCUGCGGACGCGGCCCCGGCAGCUCCUGCUCUACCUGUCGCUGGCGGAUCUCCUCUCGGCUCUCUCGUACUUCUAUGGGGUGCUGCGGGACUUCGACAGGACCUCGUGGGACUGCGUGCUCCAGGGUGCCCUGUCCACCUUCUCCAACACCAGCUCCUUCUUCUGGACCAUGGCCAUUGCUGUCUACCUCUACAUCACCAUUGUGAGGGGCUCGCCCACCGGCACAAGCUUGCUCUGCUGCUUUCAUGUCAUGAGCUGGGGAAUCCCCCUUGGCAUUACAGUGGCGGCUGUUGCUCUGAAGAAGAUCGGCUAUGACGCCUCCAACGUUUCUGUGGGCUGGUGCUGGGUCAACCUGGAUGCAGAGGAUCGGGUCCUGUGGAUGCUGCUGACGGGGAAAGUGUGGGAGAUAUUGGCCUAUGUGACCCUGCCCGUGCUCUACCUCCUCAUCAAGAAGCACAUUAACAGAGCACACGCAGCCCUCUCAGAGUAUCGCCCCAUUCUCUCAAGAGCACCUGCAUUUCAACCCCAGACUUCCAUAGCAGAUAAGAAGUUGAUUCUCAUCCCUGUCAUCUUUAUCAUCCUCCGCAUCUGGAGCACUGUGCGCUUCAUUCUGACCCUCUGUAACUCCCCUGCAGUGCAAAAUUCAGUCCUGGUUGUCCUGCAUGGAAUUGGGAACACGUUCCAAGGAGGUGCCAACUGCAUCAUGUUUGUGCUCUGCACGCGGGUGGUCCGCACUCGGCUCUUCUCCUACCUUUGCUGCUGCCACUCUGAUGAGCUGGAUUGGCCUUUGAGGCGAUCAGACAGCAACCGGCAGCACCCAGAGCCCCCCAAGAACAAGGAUGUGCCAGGCCCCGAGAGGACCAAACCCCUGCUCUCCAGCACCUGAGCCCGGGCUGCCUGCAUCUCGGUGCUGGUUCUUCUGUCUUGGUAAAAACCCAGUGUGCGGGAUCAUCCCAGAGUCCCACAGAGGGAGCUCAAGCCUGGGGAGAAGCACGGCUGGAGUGGCUGAGCAAAGGGAAGAGGUCCUGCUCCUCCUCGGCACUGGACACCGGCUGCUUUGGUCUUGAACUUUGCUCAGGGUCCCCUGGAAGAUACCGCUUGGCUCCAGCUUCCUGGUUCCAUUCCCUCCUCCACCAUAAAUGUUACGUUUGUUCGGGGUUUUGCUUUUCUGUCUGGCAAGGCAAAUGUGCUGUGAGCUGCGGGGUGAACAAUAGCACGGUGGCAGG